UUCUUGCUGUCUCCCAUGGUGAACGCGUCGGGUGGGGGUUCCUCUCCGCGCUCCACCUUGCACUCAUAGGCGAACAGGUAUUGGAUGUACUGCUUCUUGAGGGAACUGGCAGAGCUGCUGGAUGUCCCCACAUUCAGGACGGUCCUUGAGGGGUCAUCCUGGCUGAGCUGUUGCUGGGUGGAUGGUUGUAGGGGCCUCCAGGACCCAUUCCAAGCAUGUGGGGCCCACCCUGAUACCCGCCUGGCCUAUGGACAACAGCACAAAAACAUAAGGACGCCAACAAAGCUUAAGAAUGUGAAGAGUUUAUUGGCAGUCAAAUGAUCAGAUCUUUGUGGGAGAGCAUUGGAAGGCAGUGAAGUCUGGACACAUUUUAGCCAAAUUGACAUUCUUCAAAACUAGUAUGGGACCAAAGCCCCAGCAGGCCAUCAGAGAGCCCGUUGUUAAUGAAGUAUGUCUCCUCAUGACAUGUUUCAAGAGCAACCGUCUGAGGACAUUCAGCCUGACACCCACUGGACGCCAAGUUUCUCUCGUCAAGUUUCUCAGGGGACGAGACAUCAUGUUCACCACGUGGAGUUCCGUCUAACGUGCUGAUGUGCAUAAUGGGCAUAAAUUUAAUCAUGCCCAGAUCGCUGCUUGGCAGGAAGAGUUCAAGCAGCAUUUCAGUCACAAUUAGAACUGGGAUUUCCACUCCUCAAGCUGUCGAAACGUUGAGGUCUCUGGCUCAUUCAGGUUUCAAGAGUUCCCUGUGGAAAUCAGAGAGUCUUGGCAUGUUUUCUUCUUUCCCAGUGUUAAAAAAAGGACUAAAAAUGUAUUCCAAAAUCACAUGAAGCAGGUUGGGGGAUGCUGGCUUUUUGCCCCCGUUCUGUAGUUACACUGAAUCGAGACCCUUAACAAGCUCCUUCACGGUGGGGAGGAUGGGCACUCCAGCCUGCAAGGAUGUAGACGUGGACCUGGAGCAAUGCCAAUUACACAGAAAUGCCUUACUGCUGUCAGACACUCUGUGGUGACUUUCCUCCAGCCCUGUUAAUCCCAACAUUCCCUCAGGUGAGAAAGAGGGAAAGGUGACAUGAAUGUGAAGGAUGCAGCCGGCUGCCCUUCUGACAAGUGCCGUGAGCGAUGCAUAGAUGACAGAGGGUUUGGGACAUGGGAACACAAUUUGAUGCCUACUGUGAGCUAAAAAGAUGUGUAUCUCACCUUGUUUUGGUGACCCCCAUGUUUCUGGAAUUCAGCUACACAAAACGCCAAAGCUUGUUCUGACACAACAAGACUCAAAGGCUUCCCACUUUCCCUGCCUUCAACUCAAUUCACAUCAACAACUAAGCUUUGAGUCAAAGACAUUUCUCUGUUUAAAGGGAAUAUAUCAUGGAAAAGGGGAUUUUCCUUGCUCGUUUGAAACUCUGCAGAUCAAAAACACUUUAAAUUCAUCAUAAGCCCAGUCUUAUGCUGUUUUUCACAAUUUUUCACCCUUAAUGACAAAGAAAUAAAUAGAUUUGUGCUAACUUUGCAGAUUUCAUAAAAAAUGUAAAAAUGAAAUAUCACACUGACAAAAGCAUCCAGACCAUUUGCUCUGGGUUAUCGUUGAGAUGUUCCCUCACUUUUGGAUUCCACCUGUGGCAAUAUUCAAUUGAUUGGACAUAAUAUAUCUGUAUAAAUUAGUCCAACAGCUUAAAAAAUACAUAGGCAUAUUAGAACAAAAACCAAGCCACGAGGUCCAAGGAACUGCCUGCAGAGCUCAAAGACAAAAAUGUGUUGAGGCACAGAUCUGGGGAAUGUUACAAAAACAUUCCUCUGAACUGAAGGGUUCCCACUAGCACAGUGGCCUCCAUAAUUCGUAAAUGGAAGAAGUUUGGAAGUCUUCCUAGAGCUGGCUAUCCAGCCAAAAGAAAUCAGGGGAGAAGGGUCUUAGUGACUAAGCUCCAGAGAUCCUGUGUGGACCAUAUGACCACAGAUGGGCUGAAAGUUCACUCUCUAACAGGACAAUGACACUAAGCACACAGACAAGACAAGAGUGGCUUAGGGAUGACUGUGAAUGCCCCCGAGUCGCCCAGCAAGAGCCGGACUUGAACCACAUAGAACAUGUUCACAGACGGUCUCCAUCCAACCUGAGAGAGCUUGAGAGGAUCUUCAGUGAAGAAUGGCAGAAAACCCCAAAUCCAGACGUGAAAAACUUGUUGCCUCAUAACCAAAAAGACUCGAGGAUGUAAUUGCCACAAAAGGUGAUUUAACUAAGUACUCAGUACAUAUGCAAUGUGACAUUCUCAGUUUCUUUAUUUUAAUAAUUUUGCAUUUGAGUUAUCACAAAAAUGCUUUUCGUUGUCAUUAUUUGGGGUUUGGAGUGUAGAUUGAAGUGGGAAAAAAUAAAAAAAAUACUUUCUGAGUGCGCUGCAUGACGGUCAAUGUUUAUGCCGGCUGAUUUUUCAGCAGAUUUUCAAUCAUAAUCCUCAUUUACAUAGUUGAUGGAGAAUCAGAUCUCAACAGGGGAGCCUUAACAGCUGCAAUGACUCAACACCCUGCUGAGUUAAUAGCCUUACUGACUAGAAAUCAAGUUCUGUCUCGUUCAAAAUUAACAUUCAUUUGGUAGGACAAUCAUUUGGCUGUGGCAGUGACCAUUGACCAAUGAGCUUCUAAAGAAGCAACAAGCCAUUGUCAUGCUUGAAACUCAAAGACUUUCAUCCCUCUGCCAUUCUUGAUUGCCAAAUCUAACACACCUUCAACAAAAGAGGGCGAGAUUUAAUCAAAAACAGUUGGCAGGAGAGAGAACUCUCUUUCUGAUCAAAAUAACUGUUUUGGGUCGACUAGUGAGACAUUUUUACAUAUCAACCCCCACUAAACCCCUAGUAAAAUGGGUAACCCCUACUAAACCUGGUGGCCCUGAUGAAUGACAGUGUAAUUUACAAUGGUCAGAUUCAUAUGCAAACAGGUUAGCCAAUCAAAAAAGGUAAUCUACAUAAAUUGUUUUAAAGGUACAUUAGAUAAACUAUUGUGUAACACGGAUGGCUAAAGUAUACUUUGGGCUUAAUCACAGCAAAUCUAGUCCCAUCACCGAAACUCUGUGAUGUGACCCCUGUUACCUGUUAAUAUGGGCACCAAAAUGAAUCAAUGUAAAACAAGAUGUAUGAGACAAGUGUAUGAGUCAAAGAGAGUGUGGAAAAUUGUCAAAAAAAAAAAACUGAAUUAUGAAUGUCUGUAUUGUAAGUAGACUUCAGGAAACAAUAAAAUGCUACAUUUAUGCUGUUCCAAACUAUGAAUUGACUGAGGCGUCUAUUCAUGGAUCCUAUCAAUCUGUGUACACAAUUCUGUGGUCGACUGCCGCUAUAGCUCAGUCAGUGUCAGGCCUGCGACGGCGGCUGCUCCCCUGUUGUCUUGAGCCGGCUGUCAGUCAUUUGAAUGAGAGUACAGGACAACAGGGACUAUCAAUCAGGCAGAGUGGAGGCCAUGACAUUAUAAAGGCACGCUUAGCAGCUAUUCAUUUAUUACACCAGCACGCCAUAACAUUCAUGAUGAAUUGCUGCUGAGCCCUGUUAAUGGGGUCUCUUUCACAGACGCACACAGCUGAAACAAGAACGGACACUUUAAGUAUUGAUAGAGAUUCACCGAUGUAUCGGCCAACAAUCGGUAUCGGCCUAUAAAAGCUAUUUAUUUCACUAUCGGCCAUGCAUUUGAGUUACGCUGCAGUAAAGCGCUUCAUUGUAGUAGGCUACUACGGUGAUUAUCUCUUCAGUGCGCAGCGCGAGCAGGACAGACAACAAUGCAGAAUAUUAAUAACUAUGACUGGGACUGUCAUAUGCAUAACAUUAUAAUGAGAACACUAUUAUAAUAAAACGCUGUGAAGUUUUAGAGUUUAGUUGCCGUGUUUCUGCACAUUGUUGCGUGAAGAACGUGUCAACAUGAGUUAAUUCAGAGCCGCGCAAUAGGCAAUUUGUGCAGAUAGCCUAUAAAUCGUAAUAUUAAUGUUAUGUUGUAUAAAUAACGAAGCGUAUUCCAUAUGAGAUAAAUUAUGAAUGAUCAGCGCGCGCAGCUCAAAUGCAGAACAUUAAUAACUAACUGUCAUAUACAUCAAGUUAUAAUGAGAGCACUGUUGUAAAAAAUUUGACGUAAACGCUGACGUUUAAUGUUAACUUUUAAUCAAAACAUAAAGCAUUAUUUUUGUAUCUGCGAGGCGUCCGUUACACUUUUUCCCUGUGUGUUAAAGUCAAUAAUUAUGACUGUCGAAUGUCUGACUUGACUCUUGGUAAUAUAUUUUGCCCCGCCCCCAAACAUAUGAUUCGUUUCAUAUGAUGAAACAUGAAAAUUCCGAUUCUACUAUGAAAAUCAUUAGACACCCCUAGAGUGAAGAAAAUCUUGCUGAAUUUAGGGCUGUCAAAAUUAACGUGACAAUGAGGCAUUAACGGUUUAAAAAAAAACGACAUUAAAGCAGGCUCUAUUUGACCAGAUGAAUCGCCCGUAGUUCAAGCCAGCAUUACCAGAUAUUUUCUCUACACCAAACAUUUGUAGCACGCCUCGCAUCCAAUAAUCACAAAGAGCUCUGUGCUUUCUUACUUCUGAUAAGAAACAAACUCUCAGCUUUCAAAUCCUGUACAUUCAAUCACGAAAUACAAACAAUGAAUGCUGUUUUGACGCUUUUAAAUGUGACGUGACAGAUCGCUAUUGCACCUCAGCUCAAGUUCAAGUCUCUACCAGUUUAAUAAGUUAUAGCGCAAAAUACAUAUGAAUUUACAUCAUAAGAUGUUUCAGUAUGGCUUACCAAAAUGUAUCAUGUCUGUCUAAUGUAAUUGCUCAAUCAGUGUUUCAACCGCGAAAAGACACCAAUAAAACAGAUUGUGAACAGUGACUACGUUUACAUGGACAUCAGUAAUCUAAAUAUUUACCUUAUUCUGAAUAAGACAAUAUUAUGAUUAAGGUGUUUACAUGAGUUGCUUUUAGAAUAAUCCUUUCAUGUUCCCAUUUUACAUGUUAUAGUACAUAGAUCGAUUAAUGGCACACGUCAUUACAUCACCACGCGACGCCAUCCGACGUCCCUCCAGAAUUUCACACAUAAACAUACAUAACUUCUUCGUUAUGGUGCCAUAUACAGUUUUGGGUGUUUCAUUUUAUAUUUUAUGAAAGCUUCAAGUGCAGUUAAUUAUUUGUACGUGCAUAAAGACGACGGCGGUGUUGAAGCUCUUUUAUUUGCCGUCAAACAGUUGACCACUGCCGUGUGUAUCCUGUCGGAAAAUGCAGCGAAAAGUCCUACACGGCGGUAAUAGUUUGAUUAAAGCCCGGCUCACACGUCGUCUGGGACAAAUUUUGAAAAUCCUAAAAGAUUCCUAUAAUCCUAGGCUAAAAUCGGUUUGACAUGUUCACCGACAGCCGAUUAAUGGCCGUUGCGAUCAAAUUUCACCUCCGACGAAAUUCUGGCAGUGUCAGAAGAUUUGGCGCACAGUCCUGCAGUGUGACUACCCCUACGACGAAUAUCAAACUGUCUCCGUUUUUCAAGGCAAGCUAUGAGCAGGAUUAAUGCUAGAGAAUUAUUCUAUCAGCCAAAAA